CCUACGGGAGGCAGCAGUAGGGAAUAUUGCACAAUGGGGGAAACCCUGAUGCAGCAACGCCGCGUGAGUGAUGACGGCCUUCGGGUUGUAAAGCUCUGUCUUCAGGGACGAUAAUGACGGUACCUGAGGAGGAAGCAACGGCUAACUACGUGCCAGCAGCCGCGGUAAUACGUAGGUUGCGAGCGUUGUACGGAUUUACUGGGCGUAAAGGGAGCGUAGGCGGACUUUUAAGUCAGAUGUGAAAUACUCGGGCUUAACUUGAGUGCUGCAUUUGAAACUGGUAUUCUAGAGUGCAGGAGAGGAGAAUGGAAUUCCUAGUGUAGCGGUGAAAUGCGUAGAGAUUAGGAAGAAUACUAGUGGCGAAGGCGAUUUUCUGGACCGUAACUGACGCUGAGGCUCGAAAGCGUGGGGAGCAAACAGGAUUAGAUACCCCUGUAGUC
rnacentral:rRNA from 1 species